GAAUGUAUUAUAAAAUAGAACUUCUAAUUCUACAAAAGCAAUUUUGACCUGCUUACAUUCU
rnacentral:tRNA from 1 species